AUCUAAAUAGUUUAAGGGAAAAUGUUGGUUUGUGGUGCCGAUGAUAUACUUAUGUAUUUUAGAUU
rnacentral:tRNA from 1 species